AUUGAACGCUGGCGGCAUGCCUUACACAUGCAAGUCGAACGGCAGCACGGGUGCUUGCCCCUGGUGGCGAGUGGCGAACGGGUGAGUAAUACAUCGGAACAUGUCCUGUAGUGGGGGAUAGCCCGGCGAAAGCCGGAUUAAUACCGCAUACGAUCUACGGAUGAAAGCGGGGGACCUUCGGGCCUCGCGCUAUAGGGUUGGCCGAUGGCUGAUUAGCUAGUUGGUGGGGUAAAGGCCUACCAAGGCCACGAUCAGUAGCUGGUCUGAGAGGACGACCAGCCCAACUGGGACUGAGACACGGCCCAGACUCCUAAGGGAGGCAGCAGUGGGGAAUUUUGGACAAUGGGCGAAAGCCUGGUCCAGCAAUGCCGCGUGGGUGAAGAAGGCCUUCCGGUUUUAAAGCACUUUUGGCCGGAAAGAAAUUCUUGGGCCUAAUACGGUCGGGGGAUGACGGUACCGGAAGAAUAAGCACCGGCUAACUACGUG
rnacentral:rRNA from 1 species